rnacentral:lncRNA from 1 species
AUGGCAACCCUAUGGCAGGCCUAUGUUAACCCUAUGGCAGGCCUACGGCAACACUACGGCAGGCCGAUGGCAACCCAAUGGCAGGCCUAUGGCAGCCCUACGACAGGUAUAUGGCAACCCAACGGCAGGCCUAUCGCAGCCCUAUGGCAGGCCUACGACAGGUAUAUGGCAACCCAAUGGCAGGCCUAUGGCAGGCCUAUGGCAACCCUAUGGCAGCCCUAUGGCAGGCCUAUCGCAGGCCUAUGGCAACCCUAUGGCAGCCUAUGGCAACCCUAUGGCAGGCCUAUGGCAACCCUAUGGCAGGCCUAUGGCAACCCUAUGGCAGGCCUAUGGCAGCCCUAUGGCAGGCCUAUCGCAGCCCUAUGGCAACCCUAUGGCAGCCCUAUGGCAAACCCUAGGGCACCAAUGGCAACCAAUGGCAGCCUGGGUACAACGUUAGAGGACCUAAACAUGCCGUCUUACCUUCAUCCAAACAGUAAGCCACCAUACAACAGAGCUACGUAUCUACAAACAGGUAGAGCAUCAUACAAACAGGUAGAGCCAUCCAUACAAAACAGGUAAGAGCCAUCUAUACAAACAGGUAAGACACCAUACAAAGGUUAGAGCAUCCAUACAAACAGG